UUAGUAGAGAGAGCAUGUGCUCCCUAAAAAUAGAACUUUUCAUCUAUGCGCUUCAGUUGAAAGCUACUGAGGACUGGACACAGUGGUUAGAAAAGUCAAUGAAUGUCAACAGUAGCCAUUUUUUGCACAUGAAGGAAUUCAGUGAAACACCUUUGCUUCAUCUGCACUCCCAUGUCGAACACCAUUCUGUCACACUGCUCCUUUACUGCCUCUACAGCAAAAGCAGCCAUUUCAGAGUGCAUUUCAUAAACAUAAGAACAGCGUUCCCGUAUAAUCAAAAACAAUGUAUGACAAACCACACUGGCAUUUCAAAGAGGCUAUGUAUCUGCUCCUUCAAAAAGAGAAAAUAGAAGGAACAUAAGGCAAGUAGAUUACUCCAACUCAUAACUGAACUCAGCUGUGACCCUGAUGAAAAUUUCUACUACUGAGGUGUCUAAGGUUGUUUCCUACUGUUCUUGCCCUGCCAAGGUUUUAUGAUUUUUUGUUAUCAGUAUUUCAUAUCAUAACAUCAUGUAGUGCACUGGAAGUUAAAGAGUUAAUGCUGCAGUUCCAUUGAUUGUCAAUAGUUCUGGGUACCUACUCCCAGAAGAGAAGAAUGAAUUACAGCUCCCAGAAGACUUUAUUAUUCCAUUUCCAUUUUCCAUUCAGAGGGAAAGGUAAAACUGACUGGGAAUAACGGGACUAUCUAUCUUUCUGCU
ensembl:lncRNA